rfam:Salmo salar isolate Sally breed double haploid chromosome ssa23, whole genome shotgun sequence.
UGCACUCACUACUGUAAGUCGCUCUGGAUAAGAGCAUCUGCGAAAUGACCAAAA